GUGAGAUUUUUCACAAUGAUGAUGAUGUUGCUGACUUCACUGCUGAUCACAAUCAUGCUCAGACUUCAAGGAUCAGAUGCCAGUUCAUCUGUGACUCAGUCUCCUGUGUUUAAGGCUGCUGCUUUGGGGCAAACGGUCUCUCUGAGCUGUACAGCCAGUAAAGGAGUUGAUGAUGAUCUCAGUUGGUAUCUACAGAAACCUGGACAGCCUCCCAAACUGCUGUUUUACAAAAUCAGCAGCCGUGAAUCUGAUACUCCGAGUCAUUUCAGCAGCAGUGGAUCUGAGCCUGAGUUCACUCUCACAAUCAAUGGAGUUCAGGCUGCAGAUGCAGGAGAUUACUACUGUAUGGGAGCAUAUAGAGGCCCAGAGUUCACACAGUGA